rnacentral:rRNA from 1 species
UACGGGGGGAGCAAGCGUUGUUCGGAUUUACUGGGCGUAAAGGGCGCGUAGGCGGUCGUGACAAGUCACUUGUGAAAUCUCCGGGCUUAACUCGGAACGGUCAAGUGAUACUGUCGGACUAGAGUGCAGAAGGGGCAACUGGAAUUCUCGGUGUAGCGGUGAAAUGCGUAGAUAUCGAGAGGAACACCUGCGGCGAAGGCGGGUUGCUGGGCUGACACUGACGCUGAUUGUACGAAAGCUAGGGGAGCGAACGGG